GACGAACCGUGCGAACGUUGUUCGGAAUCACUGGGCUUGAAGGGCGCGUAGGCGGGCGACCAAGUCCGGGGUGAAAUCCCACGGCCCAACCGUGGAAGGGCCCCGGAUACUGGCCGCCUCGAGGGAGGUAGGGGCAUCUGGAACUGUGAGUGGAGCGGUGAAAUGCGUUGAUAUUCACAGGAACUCCGGUGGCGAAGGCGAGGUGCUGGACCCCAUCUGACGCUGAGGCGCGAAAGCCAGGGGAGCAAACGGG
rnacentral:rRNA from 1 species